UUAACCCUGUCAGACCCCCCACACAACCCCCUGCCCGCCAGAGAACUACGCGCAUCAAGUGUAAAACUCAAAGGACUUGACGGUGUCCCAUAUCGGCCUAGAGGAGCCUGUCCUAUAAUCGAUAACCCCCGCUACACCUCACCCUCUUUCGCCCAGCUCUCAGCCUAUAUACCGCCGUCGCCAGCCUACCUUAUGACAGCACACCAAAGUAGGCAUAAUAAUAACCACCCAUUAAAACGUCAGGUCAAGGUGUAGCUAAUAAGAGGGCACGCGAUGGGCUACAUUUUCUCCAUAUCAGACCCCACCACCAGAGAAAUGAAAACCCCCUACAAGCCGGAUUUAGCAGUAAACUUGGUUAAGCACACCCAGUUGAAGCC
rnacentral:rRNA from 1 species